rnacentral:rRNA from 1 species
CCCUUAGAUGUUCUGGGCCGCACGCGCGCUACAAUGAUGAAUUCAACGAGUUUAUAACCUUGGUUGAAAAGCCUGGGUAAUCUUUUGAACUUUCGUCGUGAUGGGGCUAGACCCGUGCAAUUAUUGGUCUCCAACGAGGAAUUCCUAGUAAACGCAAGUCAUCAGCUUGCAUUGAUUACGUCCCUGCCCUUUGUACACACCGCCCGUCGCACCUACCGAUUGAAUGGUCCGGUGAAAUCUUCGGAUUGAGACUUUGAUUUCUUCACGGAAAACGCUGUUUUAAAAAGUUGAUUAAACCUUACCAUUUAGAGGAAGGUGAAGUCGUAACA